rnacentral:rRNA from 1 species
UCGGCAACGGAUAUCUUGGCUCUCGCAUCGAUGAAGAACGCAGCAAAAUGCGAUACUUGGUGUGAAUUGCAGAAUCCCGUGAACCAUCGAGUUUUUGAACGCAAGUUGCGCCCGAAGCCAUUAUGCUGAGGGCACGUCUGCCUGGGCGUCACGC